rnacentral:lncRNA from 1 species
GCCUGUUUGGAGGGGGUCCAGCAGUUGGGGCCUGGUCAGAGGGGAUACGGCAGCUGGGGGUUAUUUGGCAGGGAUGCAGCAGCUGGGACCUGGUAGGUGGGGUCUGGCGGUUGGGGCCUGGUCAGUGAGGAUCAGAUCAGUGCGGUCUAGGCAGUGAGGUCUGGACGCUGGGCCUUCAUCUGCAUGGGUCUCGCAGUUGGGACCUGGUCAGCAGGGGUCUACCAGUUGGGGCCUGGUUGGCGGAAUCAGGCAGUUGGGACCUGGUUGUCGGGGGUCCAACAGUUGGGGCCUGGUCAAAGGGGAUCCAGCAGUUGGAACCUGGUCAGCAGGGCUCUGGCAGUUGGGGCCUGGUCAUUGGGGUCUGGCAGUUGGGGCCUGGUCAACAGGGGUCCAGGAGCUGAGGCCUGGUUGGUGGGCCGUCUAGCAGUUGAGGCCUGGUCAUCUGGGCCCGGCAUUUGGGGCCUGAUCGGCGGGGAUCAGAGCAGUGAGGCCUAGUCAGUGAGGUGUGGAUGUGGGGGCCUGGAUGGACGUGGAGGAAGACGUGGCUACCCUACUUGCACAGGAGCAGGGGGCAUCAUUGCCCAGUGUGAGCAGUGAGACGUAGCUGCCACCCAUCAGUGCCCUGGAAGUGAAGAGAAGACAUCAGGAGAUGAGGGACACAGAAAAAUGGCUCCAGGUGCUUCUCGACUGCCAGCGACAUAGGAGCGGCAAGGAGAGCAAGUAAUGACGCCCUCCUCCCAGACUUGCCCCAAAGCCCCCCAGAGCUUGGUGGUGUCCCAGGACGGUCCUCCCAGGAAACAUUUUGAAUAAGUUGCUGAAGUGCCUGAUGGACGUGGCUCUCGUCACGAAAUGAGUUUGGAUCCGAGAAGCCCUCUUCUUCAUCGGAAAACAGGACAAAGAUGAGCUGCGUGCCCAUAAUUCCACGUUUACGCUGACUCCUCCAGUGCCUCAUCAAUGAAGUAAGCAGGCAGCUACGUUCUGGAUGGCUAGCAUGUACCGAAGGCACAAAACCUCCAGAGUUGGCAGAGUUAAGUCCUGGCGUGCCCGAGGCUAUCCAGGGGAACACGCGGGACAGACAGCACCCUCAGCCUGUCCCCAUGACCCUCUGCUCCAGUCUGAGGGGCAGGACACCAUGAGACCUCUCAGACACAGAGUCCACCCUCGACAUGACCCGGAUGAAAGGCAGGAGUGUGCUCGCUGAAGGGGACCCAUCUCUGCAAGCCCACAGCCCUACCUGCAGCAUCCACAGCCUCAGAGAGCAGCGGGGCCCCUUACCCCUGAACCCCCUCCAAGAGCAUCAGGACAACAAGCCUUGAGCUGUGGAGACAAGAGAAUCAGUAUCCCUGGCCCAGGGAGGAUUCCAGGAGAGGACACGGGCAGGAGCCCUGGCCCAGAGCCAGAACCAAGAGUCCAGCCAGCGAAACUGGAACUAGGGUCCCCGGCACCCAGGACUCUGCGAGCAUCCCCCAACAGCAAGCCCUUCUGCAAGGGAGACGGGUUGGCCCACCCCAGGCUGUCCAGCUCCAGCAGCCUUGCAGGCAGCCUCUCCAGAAAAAGAGCCUGGUCCUCCCCACCCUGCUCCCCACAGGCUGUCCCUGACCCUGAGGCCCAGAGGCACAAGAGGACUUCUGUAGAGCCCAGGGGAGCAGGCUGUUCUCUUGGGGCCCCAGCGGGCUCAAGGUGUGGCCAGGCUGUCCCCAACUCAGGAUAGAUCAUAGGCUGUCCUGCGUACCUCCUCUGGAACUCCCUGCCCAAGCUCUGCCAUGGACCUGGACGUCAGGGGCCUGUGGUUUAACUUUGAAUAGGGAUUCUGGACCUUACACGUGUGCCCUGGACAGCCCCAGAACCAUGGGGUGGGGACCGACCCAGCAAGCCCACCGGGGCCCUGAAACCCGGCCCUGCCGGACACUGUGAUAAUAACCAAGAGGCAAGUCCAGAGACAUCCACUUUGCCCAAUGGCACCUGCAUCCAACUUCUCAGCAGGCAGUGACUGGCAUGGUGUGGGGGCAGCCGGGGCAGCACCUGGCCAGCACCUGGCCAGCUGCCCUGUAGCCCCCGAUGGCUCCAGUGCCUCUGGACCUCAUUUUCUACUUUCUACGGGGAAACCUACUCCCUCAGAGGCCACCAGAGGGAAGAGUGAGCAAGGCGUUCCUGCAGUCCCGACCAGCCAGCGGCAUGUCCUGUGGCCUCUGACUCAACCUAUGAGACAGAGCUCUGAUCCCAGGGCACACUUCCCAGGACACGGGGCCCAGCCUCAACCAGAGCCCUGUGAAGGGAGGGGCACCAGGAUGACCACAUGGGGGACCAUGGCGCUGCACACCUGGGCACUGUACUUCUCAUUGGAGAAUCCAGGCAAGAUCUUGAAGCAGGUGCAUGAGGUCCUGAGCCUGUGCAGCAAACAGCACUCAUCUGGGGUUGGCACGAAGGGGUCUACAGAGCCACGGCCACCGCAGCCUCUUCCCGGCCCCAUCUGUGCAGUGCAAGUGAUCCACGCCUGCUCCUAAACCCAGCCCAGCAAGCAGCAGCAGCCCGGGCCCCCAAGCCCGCCAGGCCAAUGUGCUGCCCAGAGGCUUCGAGGCCCUGCCCGCUGUACCUCCCACCACCUGGAAGCUGCCUCCUGACGCCUUCCAGCCACUGCUGCAGCCGCAACAGGUGUCGCGGCCAGUGCAGGCUUUCCAGACGGUGGCAGCGCCCAGCAGCCGUUGCCUCAGCUCUUUGGUGGCAGCCAGGCCAACAAGGGCAGCAACGAUGACUAGGAUGAUGAGUGAGCAAACAGCUCCACACUGGUGGACAGGCUGGGUGCGCACCCGGUGGUCCUCAAAGGCUCGCUGGGCCUGUACCACCGUUAUAAAUUUGAGAUCAUGAGAUUAUACCGUUUGCCUUCUUGCUUUUUGAAGUACGAGUAUUUUUAUGCACACUUUGUAGACUUCAAAAUCCAUGAAGAGUCUCAAAGAAGCCGGAUGGAUGGAGCCUGCUGCGGAUGCCUUUUACUCUCGUAGAUCAGGGUGAUUUACAUUCCACCUGUAGUCUGCUUGCAAACACACAGAGCAGCCUUGCAGCUUUGUGCCUUUAGACUCUUGGUUUUGCAUUUCUCCCUGCUCCCUUCUUCCUUCCAGUAAGCUGCAACUUUUCUGAUUGAAAGGGUGCAAGGCUAACACACGGAAUGACUAACUCAGGAUCACAUACUGGCAGUGGGAGAGGCAGGAGGAGCAGCUGCCAUCAAUUGCCAGGGCCAAGUGGAUGAUAGGAUGGAUGCUGGUGCAUGCGGAGGAGGCAGACGCAACGCUCAUCUCUAAUAAUGAUGUCUGUUCCCUCAGAGGCGGCUAGAGCAUCACCUCUUCACGCAAGUGUCUUGAAACUCAGCUUGAAGAUUUCAGCAAAUGUGUCUUACAGAGAAGAGAAGAGGGAGUCAGCCCAUCGGGAUUAAAAAUAUAGAGGCAGUGACAACACACACUCGGCUUCAGUUCUUAGGAGAGUUUUGGUUUUGAUUUUUUUUUUUUUUUUGGAGAAGAUUUUUUUUUUAAUGGAUCUACACUGUUAACUGAGACUCUGUUGAGAUUCACUGGUUUACUUAAAAACUUCUCAGGGAUGUCUGUAAAUUUCAGUGUUAUAUGUCAUGAAAACUGGUGUGGGCAGAUCUGUUGGUUGAAAUAAUUUCUACUGUUUCAAAUACUGAAGGCAGGAAUAAUUGGUUUAUACUGUGUUUUAAAUAGAAGUAUUACUGGUAAGUCCCCCAGGACAUUAAACCUUAAAAAUCAGUUUUAAGCUAUUAUUAUUGUAAGAGAAAUACAAAUGGCUGGAAAAUGCCACAGAGAUUCAAAAGCUGCUUAAUUGAAAGAGCAGGAAGGGAUUCUGGCUUGCAAUGCCAAAGUUUCAAUGUUUUUGUAGUUACUGAGCUAAAUCAUAUGGUAAUUGACAGUUUCUAAAUCUGUCACCUAAAGGUUAAAUUAUCUACUGUUGCCGUGAAGUCAAACUUACUGCUGCCUCAGAAAUCCCUGGGUACCGCGAUGGUCAUACAGAAGUAAGGAAGUCAAUUUGAAAUGUCAGUGAGUCAAAAUGAUUAAAGAGGCCAGGUGCAGUGGCUCACGCUUGUAAUCCCAGCACUUUGGGAGGCUGAGGCAGUGGAUUGCUUGAGUCCAGGAGUUUGAGAUCAACCUGUGCGACAUGGCAAAACCCUGUCUCUACAAAAAAUACAAAACAAAUUUAUCCAGACCUAGUGGUGCGCGCCUGUAUAGUUCCAGCUAGGGGGCUGAGGUCGGGGGAUGGCCUGAGCCUGGGAAGUCAGGGCUGCAGUGAGCCGAGAUGGCACCACUGCACUCUGGCCUGGGUGACACAGCCAGACCCUGCCUUAAAAAAAAAAAAAAAAAAAAAAAAGAUUUAAAAAACGGUCUGUUUAUUUAAAAAGAAAAGUGAAAUAAUGCCCAACAGUACAUUUACUCUCUUUUCAGGCUGGGUGCGCUGGCUCACGCCUGUAAUCCCAGCACUUUGGGAGGCCAAGGCAGGCAGAUCACCUGAGGUCAGGAGUUCGAGACCAGCCUGGUCAACAUGGCAAAACCCCGUCUCUACUAAAAAUAUAAAAAUUAGCCAGGCAUGGUGGUGCAAGCCUAUAAUCACAGCUACUUGGGAGGCUGAACCAAGAGAAUCACUUGAACCCAG